rnacentral:snRNA from 8 species
AUCGCUUCUCGGCCUUUUGGCUCAGAUCAAGUGUAGUAUCUGUUCUUAUCAGUUUAAUAUCUGAUACGUCCCCCAUCGGGGGACUACAUAUUAAAUGGAUUUUUCGAACAAGGAGUCGGAAAUGGGGCUUGCUCCGUCCGCUCCACGCAUCGACCCGGUAUUGCAGUACCUCCGGGAAUGGUGCAA